rnacentral:lncRNA from 1 species
AAAAUAUUUAUAUAAUGGUGGAAAUAUUCCAAAAUUCAAUAUUUUGGGAUUUAUACCCAAAAGAUAAACAAAUUAGAGGCCAAGAGGCUGCCGGAAGGGAAAAACGGGGCCUGGGAAGGCCGUUGUGAGGAAUGAGCUGGGCCUAAAGAGGCCACUGGGAGGCAGGAGGAGCUGGGCCUGGAGAGGCUGACUCGAGGAAGUUUUGCACCUGGAGAGGCCGCCGAGAGGACGGACUGGGCUGGGCCGAAAGAGGCCACUGGGAGGCAGGAGGAGCUGGGCCUGGAGAGGCUGACUCGAGGAACUUUUGCACCCGGAAAGGCCGCCGAG